AUCUUGGUCGUCCGGAUCACACUUACCGCCUGGGAAACUAAAUGGGCAGAGGGAAUCUUGGGACCACAGGUCGUCAGGAGGCAGUUUAGCUCUCUGUGCCAUUAGAGUAAGGGGGGACAGGCACUGGAGAUAUAAAUUACGACAUGAGGGUCUGGCAGCUGGCUAAGACUAUGCUAGGGCUCAGACACCCUAUGUCUGCCUAUGGUGUCCCAGUAGUGCAGAUAUCGUCCCCGGGUGUUCUCAACUUCUGCUGAGGGCGAAACCAAAGAAGGGGAGCCCCGGAUCGCCUCUCUCCAGUCUACAGCGAUUAGAGCGCAGCGUGUAGAGCAGCGCCGGGACCCCGCGCACGAGGCACAGCGGCACA
rnacentral:lncRNA from 1 species